GACGGCCAUAGGAGUUGGGUUCCACCCGGUCUCAUUCGAACCCGGCAGUUAAACCAGCUUCCGUAACGGCGUGUACUUCAUUACGAGGGA
rnacentral:rRNA from 1 species